rnacentral:rRNA from 1 species
GAUGAACGCUGGCGGCGUGCCUAACACAUGCAAGUCGAGCGAACGGACGAGAAGCUUGCUUCUCUGAUGUUUGCGGCGGACGGGUGUGUAACACGUGGAUACUCCCCUUAUAUGUCUGGGAUCACCUCGGGAAACCGGAGCUAAUCCCGGAUAAUAUUUUGAACCGCAUUGUUCAAAAGUGAAAUACGGUCUUGCUGUCACUUAUAGAUGGAUCCGCGCUGCUUUAGCUAGUUGGUAAGGUAACGGCUUACCAAGGCAACGAUGCAUAGCCGACCUGAGAGAGUGGUCGCCGACACUGGAGCUGGAACGCGGACCAGGCUCCUGCGAGAGGCAGCAGUAGGGUAUCGGACGCAAUAGGCGGGAACCUGGCGGAACGACGGCGCGUGUGAUGUGGAGGUGUUCGGAUCGGGAAGCUCUGUUAUGAGGGAAGAACAUAUGUGUAAGGAGCUGUGGAGAUCGUGACGGUACCUAAUCAAGAAGCCACGGCUAACUACGUG